CAUUUGCUUCAAUGAGGCUUUGGAUGAUAAUGGUCUAUUCCAGUAAUUUGUUUGGAUUUUUAAGCAGCUAUCAGAAGGACUUGAGGGUACUGAUGGUGCUCAGUUGGUAAUGAGCUUUUUAUAUAUUUCUGUAUGACUGAAUGUGUUGACCUGAAUAGCAACGGCCAGUUGCUGGCUGUAUCUUACGGCUGACAGCGGAGCCAUCUCACUGUCAUUACUGUAAUCUAACUGGUUUCGCAGGUUGGCAAUAUUCUAUGUUUUUUUUUAACAAGUCCCAUGAAAAGACCUAAACCAACAAUAAAUCUACUAACAAGUAUUGAUUGUGUAUCCAAAGCCUGACAUAUUUUAUACCUCUCCCCUAUAGAGCUCCAUUGUUA
rnacentral:lncRNA from 1 species